UACGUAGGGGGCUAGCGUUGUUCGGAAUUACUGGGCGUAAAGGGCUCGUAGGCGGCCAACUAAGUCCGACGUGAAAUCCCCAGGCUUAACCUGGGAACUGCGUCGGAUACUGGAUGGCUUGAAUUCGGGAGAGGGAUGCAGAAUUCCAGGUGUAGCGGUGAAAUGCGUAGAUAUCUGGAGGAAUACCGGUGGCGAAGGCGGCAUCCUGGACCGACAUUGACGCUGAUGAGCGAAAGCUAGGGGAGCAAACGGG
rnacentral:rRNA from 1 species